rfam:Macaca mulatta chromosome 7, whole genome shotgun sequence.
AUGUGACUUGUGGGCUUCCCUUUGUCAUCCUUUGCCUAGGGCUCUGAGCAGGGCAGGGACAGCAAAGGGGUGCUCAGUUGUCACUUCC